GUGGCUUUAGCGAGCGACAGUUCUUCAACGACGCCUGAAUUUUUGUCUCAGCCAAACGAUUAAAGAAAAUAGUUCCCUCCGCGGAGGGAUCUGGUGAGCAAAGUUUCAGGUGUGCUUGCGGACUGCACUGCCUUCUAAUGCGUUU
rnacentral:precursor_RNA from 8 species